rnacentral:rRNA from 1 species
UACGGGGGGGGCGAGCGUUGUUCGGAAUUACUGGGCGUAAAGGGCGCGUAGGCGGUCUGCUAAGUUGGAUGUGAAAACUCUGGGCUUAACCCAGAGCCUGCAUUCAAAACUGACAGGCUAGAGUUCUGGAGGGGAUAGCGGAAUUCCUGGUGUAGCGGUGAAAUGCGUAGAUAUCAGGAGGAACACCGGUGGCGAAGGCGGCUAUCUGGACAGAAACUGACGCUGAGGCGCGAAAGCGUGGGGAGCAAACGGG